CACUGCUGCAGCUGAGCCGCUGCAGAGAACCUAAGCGGGAGGUGGGAAGGACUGUAGGAGGGUGAGCAGUGGCAAAGCCUGGCCAGAAUCCCCAUCUGGCCGUGAGCCAGACUGACCCAGUGCCCUCCAGCUCCGAGUGUGACUUCCUGGCGUGCCCUGCUCUGCCGAGCUGGAGAAGGGCCACCAUCGGUGCUCUCUCGGGUAUGUGAUCUAAGUUCUCACCUUCCUUCCCACUCUUCCUCCGUCCCUCCUCCCCACCCGCCCCUCUCUGGCACCAUGGCAUCAUGGACCCUGUAAAACCAGAUAGAGCCGACUUGAAAUCUGGCUGUGCUCCUUAUUAGCGGGGUGACCUUGGGCAAGUUACUUAACCUUUCUCAGUCUCCAUCAUAGUUCAGUUCAAUGAAGACAGUAAUUCCUACCCUGCAGGGCUACUGGGAGACUUCCGUGAAAUACCGUGGGCGAAGUGCCAGGCACAGUGCUUGGCACACGGCAGGUGUUUACUGGGUCAGCCCCAUGCUCUUUGGAGUCUUCCCCAAACCUGAGUCAAUGCCCUGUGUCCACUGCCCUCUCUCUGUCCUCCAUUCCCCCAUCUCUCACAGAGCAUGGGACACUUCAGCGUAUGGCCUCAAGACCCAACAGGUUCUCCAGGACUGGCCCCUAUCAGGAGAAUCCCUCUGUCUAGGAAUCUGCACCUCAGCCUGACCUUAUUGGGAGUGGGAGCUGGUACCAAGGUUGGAUGCUGGGCACUAGUAGCCACUAGAUAUAGGUCUAGGACAUCUGCUGGACCACCAGAACGCUCUGGAGCCAGGCUGGCUGGGUUUGAACUCUUACUCUGCCAUUCACUAUCUGGGUGACCUUAACCAAGUUAUUCAGCCUCUCCAUGCCUCAAUUUUCUAAUCUGCAAAAUGGGAAUAAUAACAAGAGUAUCUCAUCAUGGUUCUGGUAGGAGGAUUCAUGAGUUCAUCAGUGUACAGCAUUCAGAACCACAUUUGACACACAGGAAGUACUAGCUGUGCUUGUUGUCAUUACUUGCUAUCCUUCUGAGGGGGUGACUGUCCUCUGUGGGACCUGCCUGUUCUGAGGUUGCAGAUUGAUUUCCCUGGGCUUGAGAU
rnacentral:lncRNA from 10 species